AUUGAACGCUGGCGGCAGGCCUAACACAUGCAAGUCGAGCGGAUGAAGGGAGCUUGCUCCUGGAUUCAGCGGCGGACGGGUGAGUAAUGCCUAGGAAUCUGCCUGGUAGUGGGGGAUAACGUCCGGAAACGGGCGCUAAUACCGCAUACGUCCUGAGGGAGAAAGUGGGGGAUCUUCGGACCUCACGCUAUCAGAUGAGCCUAGGUCGGAUUAGCUAGUUGGUGGGGUAAAGGCCUACCAAGGCGACGAUCCGUAACUGGUCUGAGAGGAUGAUCAGUCACACUGGAACUGAGACACGGUCCAGACUCCUACGGGAGGCAGCAGUGGGGAAUAUUGGACAAUGGGCGAAAGCCUGAUCCAGCCAUGCCGCGUGUGUGAAGAAGGUCUUCGGAUUGUAAAGCACGUUAAGUUGGGAGGAAGGGCAGUAAGUUAAGACCUUGCUGUUUUGACGGUACCAACAGAAUAAGCACCGGCUAACUUCGUG
rnacentral:rRNA from 1 species